rnacentral:misc_RNA from 1 species
UCCGGCUUAUCACCGGCGGUUUCUUUAGAGUGCCCAACUGAAUGGUAGCAACUAAAGACGAGGGUUGCGCUCGUUGCGGGACUUAACCCAACAUCUCACGACACGAGCUGACGACAGCCAUGCAGCACCUGUCUCGCGAUUCCCGAAGGCACCAAGGCAUUUCUGCCAAGUUCCGCGGAUGUCAAGGCCAGGUAAGGUUCUUCGCGUUGCAUCGAAUUGAGCCACAUACUCCACCGCUUGUGCAGGCCCCCGUCAAUUCCUUUGAGUUUUAGCCUUGCGGCCGUACUCCCCAGGCGGGGCACUUAAUGCGUUAGCUACGGCACCGCAGGGGUCGAUACCCGCGACACCUAGUGCCCAUCGUUUACGGCGUGGACUAC